AACGUGUCGCGAUGGAUGACUU
rnacentral:rRNA from 1 species